rnacentral:sRNA from 1 species
CUCAACUCCUGAUAGUCAGGUUUGGCCCACAGCACCUGACAUUACUCGUGAGACCUGCAGCACCCUGGCAGAAAGCCCCAGGAAUGGCCUUCAGGAAAAGCACAAGAGCCUAGCCUUCCACCGACCACCAUAUCACCUGCUGCAGCAACGUGACAGCCAGGAUGCCAGUGCUGAGCAAAGUGACCAUGAUGAUGAGGUGGCCAGCCUUGCCUCUGCUUCAGGAGGCUUUGGCACCAAAGUUCCUGCUCCACGGCUGCCUGCCAAGGACUGGAAGACCAAGGGAUCCCCUCGAACCUCACCCAAGCUCAGGAGGAAAAGCAAGAAGGAUGAUGGGUAGGGAGGAAUCCUAGGGAGGGAGAGGGUGGUCUCCAGGCUGCCUGACGUAGCCUGAGGUGCUUCUCGCCUAUGGCAGGGAUGCAGCCAUGGGAUCCCGGCUCACAGAGCACCAGGUGGCAGAGCCCCCUGAGGACUGGCCAGCACUAAUUUGGCAACAGCAGAGAGAGCUGGCAGAGCUGCGGCACAGCCAAGAAGAGCUGCUGCAGCGUCUGUGUACCCAACUCGAAGGCCUGCAGAGCACAGUCACAGGCCACGUAGAACGUGCCCUUGAGACCCGGCACGAGCAGGAACGUAUCCUUGAGGCUGGUAGCACAACAUGGCAUAGGGACAGGGGCAGCAUUCUUGGCCUGGGAAGGAGUACACGACCUGCUCCAGGCCUGUUCCUUAGCUACGGCUCAGAGCGGCGGCUGGAGCGAGCACUGGCUGAGGGGCAGCAGCGGGGAGGGCAGCUGCAGGAGCAGCUGACACAACAGUUGUCCCAAGCACUGUCUUCAGCUGUAGCUGGGCGUCUAGAGCGCAGCAUACGGGAUGAGAUCAAGAAGACAGUCCCUCCAUGUGUCUCAAGGAGUCUGGAGCCUAUGGCAGGCCAACUGAGCAACUCAGUGGCUACCAAGCUCACAGCUGUGGAGGGCAGCAUGAAAGAGAACAUCUCCAAGCUGCUCAAGUCCAAGAACUUGACUGAUGCCAUCGCCCGAGCAGCUGCAGACACAUUACAGGGGCCGAUGCAGGCUGCCUACCGGGAAGCCUUCCAGAGUGUGG